GGGCGAUUAGCUCAGUUGGGAGAGCACCUGCCUUACAAGCAGGGGGUCGUAGGUUCAAGCCCUACAUCGCCCA
rnacentral:tRNA from 1 species